rnacentral:rRNA from 1 species
CAGUAGCCGCGGUAAAACGAAGGGUGCAAGCGUUACUCGGAAUUACUGGGCGUAAAGCGUGCGUAGGUGGUGGUUUAAGUCCGUUGUGAAAGCCCUGGGCUCAACCUGGGAAUUGCAGUGGAUACUGGGUCACUAGAGUGUGGUAGAGGAUAGUGGAAUUUCCGGUGUUGCAGUGAAAUGCGUAGAGAUCGGAAGGAACAUCUGUGGCGAAGGCGACUAUCUGGGCCAACACUGACACUGAGGCACGAAAGCGUGGGGAGCAAACAGGAUUAGAUACCCGCGUAGUCCCUGUCUCUUAUAC